AGGCCGUCCCUCCCUCCCGCGGGUGCACCUGUCUCUUCCUCCCGCGCCCCCCGUGUUCUGUGGGGAAAAAUGAGAGAGCCGUUGCAGCUUUUCGCGGUGGCUGUGGAGUUAAAAUGGCAUCCGUCGAACAGGGCUAGUUUUGGGCUGACAGGAUCGGGAUUAAAGAGCAUGCCUUUGGAAUAUGCAGAGAGCUACAGAGCAUUUUUUUUCGGUGUUCAAGCUUGAAGCAAAGCAGAAUGUGUGUGGAUACAAAAGCAGAGGCAUCUGUAGAAAAUCCAGGAAGUACAUUAACAGAGAAACAUAGCAAUGGUUGAAAAAAUGGAACUGACAGCAACUAUAAAGCUCAAAUUUCCGCAUCUUCCUUCCUUGGCAUGCCUUGAGGGUGCUAAGAUACUUCAAGAGAUACUGUAUGUGACAAACAGAAGUCUAAGCUACCUGCUAUUUGUUGCUAAUCUGAUAUCUCCCUCUUCUUACUGAAGUCCUGUGUGAGUAACAAUCAUUUCCUACUUAAAAUUUCUCUGCAUUUUCAGUUGGAUGUCUUUGUUACAUUGUGAGUUAAACUAUGCAGUUUAGCAACUGUCAAAUGGCAAGGGCCAACUCUUAGCUCUGUUUUGGAUGAACUGUCUCUUGGAAAAAGGAGAGAGGGAAUGUUUAUUUCUAUAAAUGUAGUUUGUAGGGCUGUUUCAUAGAGAUCUUCAUAGAGUCCAGUUCACUGCAAUGAGAAAGAAAUACAGUGGGUUGCAGCUAGUUGAAAUUUGUUAUGUGAUCAAUUGCUGUGAGGAAACAACCUUAUUAGAUUUCAAUUUGUCUUACAGAAGUUUUGUUUCUCUUUUUUUCUGAGCUCCUCCUAUAUGAAUGUUGUACUGUUGAGUCCUUGCAAAGAAAAGAGGUUUGUUUACUGCGUCGAAAACAAGUAUGAGAUAAAGAAGAAUAGGUAUUUUUCAAUAUUACAUGAUUUUUUUUCUAUGUUUGACUGGUGUCUUUACCUAAACAAGGCAAUCAGGAAUGCGAAGUAGGGAAUUAAUAGUAAGUAUCUCUAGGAAGAGGUGUUUCAGCAGUUGGAUCAUUAUUUUCAUACUUAGAAGACCAGAGUAUAAUUCCAUUCUCUCGUGAGUAUGCCUACAAAAGGCAAGUGGUUUCACCUUUCUGUGCUUCAGCUCCUCAGUUCUGCGCUAAGGCUAAUAGCAUUGCCUCAUUACAGCUUGCUGUAGGGGAGGACCAACCUGAUGUAUUUUGAAGGAGAUGUGGGUGGGAAUCAUUGCAGCCAUGGCGCUUAAUAUGUAUUUCUUAAAGAAAGCACUGGACUGUGGCUCUAGCAAAGGCUGUGACACUUACUCCACACCCCAACUCAAUGAACUUUCACUUAACUGCUCAGAGAGGAUGUAGGAGAGGGAGAAAGUCCCAAGCUGUUGUGGUAGUUCUUUUUUAAGGGACUGGUGAAGGAGUAAACUUGCAUUUGGGGCAGAGUGGUAGGGUGUUUGUUUUUUUCCUUGUUAUUCCCCCUCCUCCACAGAAAAUACUGAGGAUUAUUUGCAUGUGUGUACACAGUGGGAGAAGAUGCCCAACUGGGAUCCAAGCGUGAAUGAAACAGAGCUUGCAGUUCAAAGCCGACACAGUCUCAAAUUCUUGCUCCUAGGAAAAAAAAAAAAACAA